rnacentral:rRNA from 1 species
UACGUAGGAGACGAGCGUUGUCCGGAAUCACUGGGCGUAAAGCGCGUGUAGGCGGGUCCGCAAGUCUGCUGUGAAAACUCCUGGCUUAACCGGGAGAGGGCGGUGGAAACUGCGAACCUGGAGGACGGUAGAGGCUGGUGGAAUUCCCGGUGUAGUGGUGAAAUGCGUAGAGAUCGGGAGGAACACCUGUGGCGAAGGCGGCCAGCUGGGCCGGACCUGACGCUGAGACGCGAAGGCGUGGGGAGCGAACGGG